UACGUAGGGGGCAAGCGUUGUCCGGAUUUAUUGGGCGUAAAGAGCGUGUAGGCGGCCUGAAAGGUCAGCUGUGAAAACUCGAGGCUCAACCUCGAGACGUCGGUUGAAACCAUCUGGCUAGAGUCCGGAAGAGGAGAGUGGAAUUCCCGGUGUAGCGGUGAAGUGCGCAGAUAUCGGGAAGAACACCCGUGGCGAAGGCGGCUCUCUGGGACGGUACUGACGCUGAGACGCGAAAGCGUGGGGAGCGAACAGG
rnacentral:rRNA from 1 species